GGCAGGGUGGUGCAGUGGUUAGCAUUGCAAGGCUGCCCUCUUCACAAGAAGGUUCUGGGUUCGAUCCCCAGGCCUGGGG